rnacentral:rRNA from 1 species
AUUGAACGCUGGCGGCAUGCUUUACACAUGCAAGUCGGACGGCAGCACAGAGAAGCUUGCUUCUUGGGUGGCGAGUGGCGAACGGGUGAGUAACAUAUCGGAACGUACCGGGCAGUGGGGGAUAACUAAUCGAAAGAUUAGCUAAUACCGCAUAUCUUCUGAGGAAGAAAGCAGGGGACCAUUUGGCCUUGCGCUGUUUGAGCGGCCGAUAUCUGAUUAGCUAGUUGGUGGGGUAAAGGCCUACCAAGGCGACGAUCAGUAGCGGGUCUGAGAGGAUGAUCCGCCACACUGGGACUGAGACACGGCCCAGACUCCUACGGGAGGCAGCAGUGGGGAAUUUUGGACAAUGGGCGCAAGCCUGAUCCAGCCAUGCCCGCGUGUCUGAAAGAAAGGCCCUUCGGGUUGUAAAAGG